GCGGAAGCCCUCCUCGCCCAAUGGGGACAGGCAAGGGAGUGACAUGGGGAGUGACAUGGGCCACGACAACCAAUGGGAACAUGACAGGGUUUAACGCAGACAAAUGUUGAUUGGAGUUUGAGCUUCCAGAUGACAUCUGCAAGAAAUUUGCUGAGAAGUUUGUACAGUAAAUUCAACCUGUCAUUCUCUACUGCAAGAUACGUUCCGGAGAAACCAAAUGCCCUGACCAUCUGUCUUCAUCUGAAAUAUUUUAGUGUUGGAAUUCCUAAUACGAUUGUAGAAGGGAACUGACUAAAAUAUAAACUGUCACAGACUU